GCUGUAGCUCAGUGAUAGAACAUCUGCCUUGCCUGCAGAAGGUCCCAGCUUCAACCCCAGGCAUCUCCA